CGGUUCUCAGUUCUGAAGGAGACACAAAAGAGAGAAAACCUUCGUUGGAUUGAUCGUCAAUAUUUGAGGCAUUUCGGAGUGAGUGUGUCAAGGGAAUUGGAUGGGAUUCUGUGUGGCAGGAUCGUUGGAUUCAAAUGUUAAUAUCAUGCUGAGACCGAGAGUGCGAAGCUGUUCUAAUGAAGCAAGAAUCAGGUCCCCUUCUUCAUUCUGCACAGCACCCAAUUUUGAUAGCGUUAGUUUCAAGCACUCUCAAAAGCAAAAUCAUAAGGCCAUUCAAACAAGACUUUUUCUGUGCAAGCAAGACUCAGUUGAGUUUGAUGAGAGGAAGAGCCCAAAUGAGGUUAGAGAAGAGAUCAAACGAUGUUACGAACUCAUAAACAGAUUGGGUAGAGGAGUUGUGUAUUUGGGAUCUUCAAGGAUGGGGCCUGGCCAUCCCCAUUAUGUGCAAGCACAGGAGCUGUCUAAAGAGGCAAGUAAUUCAUACUGUAACUUCCUGCCUGCUUCUUGCUUGCUUUCUGUGAAUAAUAUAGCAAAUCUUUUGGAUUGCACUUCAUGGUCAGGGGCUGGACCAGGGUUAAUGGACGCAGUUACUCAAGGUGCUCUGCAAGCAGGAAAACCAGUUGGCGGAUUCAAGAUUGGAAAAGAAGCUGGGGAAUGGACUGCAUCCAACUACCAUCCAUACUUGCCAUCAGAAAAUUACCUCACUUGCAGGUUUUUCUCUGCAAGGAAACAUGGGCUGGUGGAUGUUGUAGUAAGGAAUAAUUCACUCGAUAAGACUGCUGUUGUUGCUCUUCCCGGUGGGAUUGGUACUCUUGAUGAGGUGUUUGAGAUAAUGGCGUUGAUUCAGCUCGAACGGAUUGGAUCAGAGCUUCCUAUUCCGUUCAUUUUGAUGAAUUAUGAUUCAUUUUAUUCGAAGCUGCUUGACUUUCUUGAUGUUUGUGAGGAUUGGGGCACGGUUUCUAAGGGAGAAGUUUCAUCAUUAUGGAAGGUUUGUAACAGCAACCCUGAGGCUUUGGCUUACCUGGUGGAUUUCUACGGCUUUUCUUCCAGCAACAAAAGUAGUAAUUUAACGAAAUUGCAUAGCACAGUUGAAUCAUCCUCCACAUAGCACCUUUUUCCCCCUUUUCUUCCUUUAAGUGAUUCCUUCCUUCUUCUCAACAUAGCUCGAUCAUGAAAACAUUCUGAAUAGAAGAGGCGAAUGCAGAGGCCUUCCACUUGCAUGAGAUACCUGUACGUGGAGAACAAGAGAAAGGUUCAGAGGAGAAGAAUUUAGAGAAGAUCUAAGAAGGAAAGUAGGUAACACAAUCUAUCAGAAGGGAAGGAGCCCACUCCACUCAUUAGUUAAUCUUUUAACCUUCUACCUUCUAGUGUCCACUCUCUCAUGCUUCUCCUUGGCUUCUGAAUUGGUGGAUUGGUUGCCACCUGUCCAUUCCCACCAGCUAACUCUUCCUCAUUUGUUAGCGGAUUUAAUUUGCGAGUUAAUUUCAGCAUGAUUCCCAUUAACUUCUUUGGUUCUAUUUUUCUUCCUUACAGUUUGUUUUUGGACUCCAAAUGUCCAAGUUGUUAUUUUGGGAGAAAUAGACAUUUUUAGUUAGUCAACUUUAGGGUUUACAUUUAUAAUUUAGGAUUUAGAGUUUAGAGUUUAUAAUUUAGAAUACAGAAUUUAAAAUAAACAAAAUAAUUUUAAAAGAAUUGACUGAUGUUGGCUGAAAAAAGUUGGUUUCCUAACAUUACUCUUUGAAUUGCUAUUUGGACCAGAGUAACAAAAUGUUUACAAAUUGUGGUUUUUGUUUUCUUUUUCCUUUUUUUUUUUGGAAGUAAUUAAGCAAAGGAAGAGAAUCACUGUGCCUUGUUAAAAAAAUUACUGCACCUUGUUAAGGCUCUUGGAAAAUCAUUAACAUGGUCAAUGUAUGGCUUUCCUCCAUGUGUCAGUGUCAAUGUAUGAUACAUGGGUCGUAUGUAGCCAGCCUAGCUAUCAAACAUUAGGGGCAUUAUAUAUAUACACAGU